AUGUGACAGGAGAGCCAUCCUGACCUGCGUCUCUGGUGGAGGGUGCACAACAUCAGCUGCAUGCAGGGAGUGGUCUGCGAGGCUGGGGCUAGGAAUGGGAUCGUCUCCCUGUGGUAUUGCUGCUUUGAGCUUCAUCUAUGCGUGUGUCCCAUGAGCAAACUAAACAAAUGGAAGGCUUCUGCUAAGCUUCGACUCUCACAAAACUCAGCUCCUUGCCUCCAACGAAUCAACAGCCACAAACCCCGUGCAGGCUGGAGCAGUGGUCUCAUGAGGAAGCCAGGACGUGACCCUGGAGGCUGCAGCAUGUGAUAUGUGACACUCUGAGAUCUUGGCUCUCCUGCUGGUGCCCCUUUUUUACGGAAGUUGGGCACAGCAGCUCUGCCAGAGAGAACAAGGUAUGGGGCUCUCUGUUGCAUAGGGAGACAAUUGAGUGUGACCUACUUCUAAUGCUCUGCUACUUAACUCCUAAGGCAGAGAGAAUAUCCAGGUGACCCUGCCCACUUUUGUGGGGAAAAUAGGUGGAGGAGGUUGGAGGUCAGGUUGCUCAGGUGGGAUGGGACACAUAUUAGCACUGCACAUACUGUAUCUCUCAACAGUGCUGGAACUGGCUAUUGUAGUGCUGUUGAGUGCCCUGCGCACUUGGUCUUGCAGUAAUACUGGAUCACCACCCAUGUGUAAAGGGUAAAGAGAAAAUUAUUUGGAAACAAGUCAGUGUUAGGGAGUUUCUGUGAUUCAGAUCUGAGCUGCUGCUGUAACAUUCCAUAGUUAGAAGGGUGGAAACUAGCUAGAUCAACUAAAAAUUCUGCAAUCUCCACUGGAAGUCCAGUGAGACCACCUCAUCUUGAGAGCCUGUCCUUACCCUGUGAUUAUAUCUUACAUACUUGGCUGCUUCUGCAUGGAAGAAAUGCCUUCUCUUAGCUUUGGGUUCGGUUCAGAUGCCAGUUCUCACAAGGGCUAAAUUUAAAUAUGGGUUUGAAUAUACGUGCAGUUGGGACAGAAACCCCACCCAUCCUUAUUGUUUCACGUCUGCACGGGGUGAGAAGGACAGGGCUUUCUUUCCCUUUUUGCCUGCUGAUAAUUUGGGGCUGUGACCAGCUCUGGCUGCAGACUCACUAGAGAAGUGGAUCCCAGGCAUUUGGUGGGUCCUUGGCUUUCACUGUGUGGCUUGCAGUCAGCUCUUGCCAGGACUGAUUGUACAGCUCAGUCACACUGUUUAAAGGGAGAUAACAAAUCACCCAUAGAAAUGAUCUGUUUUAACUGCCAUGGUGUGGUGUAUGCACUUUUCCAAUGUGUAAGUACUACCAAAUAUUUCUGCCAGCAACAACAGCAACGCAGACCUGACUCCCAGAGAAAGCUCAAUCUAAAACAGGCUAGGAAAUCACAUGUGGUAAGUGCUCUGAAAGCCUUCAUGGCCCGCAAGUAGGGAGGAAAUAAGGAAAAAAAAAUCCUGUGAAAGAAUAGACAAAGCUCUUUCUACCUUGAAUAUAGCUGGUAAUUGCAAUGAACACCAAAGUGGUGCAGCUGGGAAGAUCAUUUGCACCUCCUGGUGGUAAAUCGAAAAAUCCUGAAAAGUGUCAAGAUCAGAUGUGCAAACAUUUACUAUGAUAUAACGAGUCUGCUUGGAAUAAGCUGUAAUAAGACAGCAGCAACUUCCUGAAAUCUGUCGUAGAGGAAAGAGAAAUAUAUACAAAAAAAAAAAAAAAAGGCAACAUACUGAAGACUUAGAGCUCUUCGGUUCUGAAUCAAAAAGAGAUCCACAAGGAGUAUUGUGCCACACAACGGGGAGUGCACAUGCUCGGCUGUUUCACCCACACUGAAGCAACGUACCUGCAAAUACAAGACAGCUGGAAAAUGCUGGUUGCAUUAGAAAAUAAUAGUGCCCAGUAGCCUUAACAUCUUGACACCAAGGGUGUUGUUUAGCUCUCUGAUUAGCUGCAGGCUUCCUGUGUGUCCCCAGCUCGUGUUACUCAGUUUGUCAUUUGUAAGGUGCCAUUGUAAUAAGUAUCAAAUAAGGUAAUAUGCACCUAUGGACUCCAAAUAUCUCUAGGGACUCAUAGGAGUGUCUGUUCUUAUUUGUUUUGCUAUGAGUGGCCUGAACACUCACACAAAAGGACUUCUCUAAUUUUGAAGUACGUAACCGGGUACAAAUCAAGUACAGGAAUUUCCAUUUCUUCAGACAUUAUAAUAGCUGCACUAUUGAAAACCACCUAAUGACAGUUCUAUUGAAAAAAAAAAAAAGUAUUUUGAACUUUUAAAAAUUUUAUGGCUCUCAGGGGGUUAGUAACUCUAACUUGGAAGUGUGACUUGGAAAAUGUUCAGUGUUCAGUCCUAAUUGUAUACAGUUAGGGCAGAGUAGAGGGGAGUAGGGUUUAGUUUUUCAAUUGGUCUGUAACACAAAUCAGCACUGACCUUGCAAGGUAGAUAAGAAUCUCUCCUAUAGGGCUGAAGUCUCUGUUAAUGUAAAUAAAAUGAAUGACUGUGUAGAUUCCUCCUGUGUU
rnacentral:lncRNA from 1 species